GGGGCUGUAGCUCAGUUGGGAGAGCGCCACGUUCGCAACGUGGAAGUCGAGGGUUCGAAUCCCUUCAGCUCCACCA
rnacentral:tRNA from 1 species